ACUCCUACGGGAGGCAGCAGUGAGGAAUAUUGGUCAAUGGAGGGAACUCUGAACCAGCCAUCCCGCGUGUAGGAAGACGGCCUUAUGGGUUGUAAACUACUUUUAUACAGGAAGAAACGUACCCUCGUGAGGGUGCCUGACGGUACUGUAGGAAUAAGCACCGGCUAACUCCGUGCCAGCAGCCGCGGUAAUACGGAGGGUGCGAGCGUUAAUCGGAAUUACUGGGCGUAAAGCGUGCGUAGGCGGCUUGGUAAGCCGGUUGUGAAAGCCCCGGGCUCAACCUGGGAACGGCAUCCGGAACUGUCAGGCUAGAGUGCAGGAGAGGAAGGUAGAAUUCCCGGUGUAGCGGUGAAAUGCGUAGAGAUCGGGAGGAAUACCAGUGGCGAAGGCGGCCUUCUGGACUGACACUGACGCUGAGGUACGAAGCGUGGGUAGCAAACAGGAUUAGAUACCCUGGUAGGCUCUGC
rnacentral:rRNA from 1 species